AAAAACUUUCUAACAGUAAACCUCUGUAGUUUCCUACUUGUAGUACUAGAGCAAGUUCUGCAAAUUUCAAAUAAUCAAA